GGACGGAGAAGGCUAUGUUGGCCGGGCGACGGUUGUCCCGGUUUAAGCGUGUAGGCUGGUUUUCCAGGCAAAUCCGGAAAAUCAAGGCUGAGGCGUGAUGACGAGGCACUACGGUGCUGAAGCAACAAAUGCCCUGCUUCCAGGAAAAGCCUCUAAGCAUCAGGUAACAUCAAAUCGUACCCCAAACCGACACAGGUGGUCAGGUAGAGAAUACCAAGGCGCUUGAGAGAACUCGGGUGAAGGAACUAGGCAAAAUGGUGCCGUAACUUCGGGAGAAGGCACGCUGAUAUGUAGGUGAAGUCCCUCGCGGAUGGAGCUGAAAUCAGUCGAAGAUACCAGCUGGCUGCAACUGUUUAUUAAAAACACAGCACUGUGCAAACACGAAAGUGGACGUAUACGGUGUGACGCCUGCCCGGUGCCGGAAGGUUAAUUGAUGGGGUCAGCGCAAGCGAAGCUCUUGAUCGAAGCCCCGGUAAACGGCGGCCGUAACUAUAACGGUCCUAAGGUAGCGAAAUUCCUUGUCGGGUAAGUUCCGACCUGCACGAAUGGCGUAAUGAUGGCCAGGCUGUCUCCACCCGAGACUCAGUGAAAUUGAACUCGCUGUGAAGAUGCAGUGUACCCGCGGCAAGACGGAAAGACCCCGUGAACCUUUACUAUAGCUUGACACUGAACAUUGAGCCUUGAUGUGUAGGAUAGGUGGGAGGCUUUGAAGUGUGGACGCCAGUCUGCAUGGAGCCGACCUUGAAAUACCACCCUUUAAUGUUUGAUGUUCUAACGUGGACCCGUGAUCCGGGUUGCGGACAGUGUCUGGUGGGUAGUUUGACUGGGGCGGUCUCCUCCUAAAGAGUAACGGAGGAGCACGAAGGUUGGCUAAUCCUGGUCGGACAUCAGGAGGUUAGUGCAAUGGCAUAAGCCAGCUUGACUGCGAGCGUGACGGCGCGAGCAGGUGCGAAAGCAGGUCAUAGUGAUCCGGUGGUUCUGAAUGGAAGGGCCAUCGCUCAACGGAUAAAAGGUACUCCGGGGAUAACAGGCUGAUACCGCCCAAGAGUUCAUAUCGACGGCGGUGUUUGGCACCUCGAUGUCGGCUCAUCACAUCCUGGGGCUGAAGUAGGUCCCAAGGGUAUGGCUGUUCGCCAUUUAAAGUGGUACGCGAGCUGGGUUUAGAACGUCGUGAGACAGUUCGGUCCCUAUCUGCCGUGGGCGCUGGAGAACUGAGGGGGGCUGCUCCUAGUACGAGAGGACCGGAGUGGACGCAUCACUGGUGUUCGGGUUGUCAUGCCAAUGGCACUGCCCGGUAGCUAAAUGCGGAAGAGAUAAGUGCUGAAAGCAUCUAAGCACGAAACUUGCCCCGAGAUGAGUUCUCCCUGACCCUUUAAGGGUCCUGAAGGAACGUUGAAGACGACGACGUUGAUAGGCCGGGUGUGUAAGCGCAGCGAUGCGUUGAGCUAACCGGUACUAAUGAACCGUGAGGCUUAACCUU
rnacentral:rRNA from 1 species